ensembl:snRNA U6 U6 spliceosomal RNA
UUGCUUCAGCAGAAAAUAUACUGAAAUUGAAAUAAUAAAAAGAAAAUUAGCAUGGCCUCUGUGCAAGGAUAACACUCAAAUUCAUGAAGCAUUCUGUAUUUUU